rnacentral:rRNA from 1 species
AUUGAACGCUGGCGGCAGGCCUAACACCUGCAAGUCGCGCGGAGCGGCGGACGGGUGAGUAAUGCCUAGGCAUCUGCCCGGUAGUGGGGGAUAACGUCCGGUCACGGGAGCUAAUACCGACUACUAUCAGAUGAGCCUAGGUCGGAGUAGCUAGUUGGAGGGGUAAAGGGCUCACAAGGCGAAGAGCCGUAACUGGUCUGAGAGUAUGAUCAGCAACACUGGAACUGAGACACGUGCCAGACUCCUACGGUAGGCAGCAGUGGGGAAUAUUGGACAAGUGGCGAAAGCCUGAUCCAGCCAUGCCGCGUGGUUGAAGAAGGUCUUAGGAUUGUAAAGCACUUUAAGUUGGGAGGCGUUACCAACAGAAUAAGCACCGGCUAACUUCGUGCCAGCCGCCGCGGUAAUUC